rnacentral:rRNA from 1 species
GUGGCGAACGGGUGAGUAACACGUGAGUAACCUGCCCUUGACUCUGGGAUAAGCCUGGGAAACUGGGUCUAAUACCGGAUAUGACUGUUCAUCGCAUGGUGGUUGGUGGAAAGCUUUUGUGGUUUUGGAUGGACUCGCGGCCUAUCAGCUUGUUGGUGGGGUAAUGGCCUACCAAGGCGACGACGGGUAGCCGGCCUGAGAGGGUGACCGGCCACACUGGGACUGAGACACGGCCCAGACUCCUACGGGAGGCAGCAGUGGGGAAUAUUGCACAAUGGGCGCAAGCCUGAUGCAGCGACGCCGCGUGAGGGAUGACGGCCUUCGGGUUGUAAACCUCUUUCAGUAGGGAAGAAGCGAAAGUGACGGUACCUGCAGAAGAAGCGCCGGCUAACUACGUGCCAGCAGCCGCGGUAAUACGUAGGGCGCAAGCGUUAUCCGGAAUUAUUGGGCGUAAAGAGCUCGUAGGCGGUUUGUCGCGUCUGCCGUGAAAGUCCGGGGCUCAACUCCGGAUCUGCGGUGGGUACGGGCAGACUAGAGUGAUGUAGGGGAGACUGGAAUUCCUGGUGUAGCGGUGAAAUGCGCAGAUAUCAGGAGGAACACCGAUGGCGAAGGCAGGUCUCUGGGCAUUAACUGACGCUGAGGAGCGAAAGCAUGGGGAGCGAACAGGAUUAGAUACCCUGGUAGUCCAUGCCGUAAACGUUGGGCACUAGGUGUGGGGGACAUUCCACGUUUUCCGCGCCGUAGCUAACGCAUUAAGUGCCCCGCCUGGGGAGUACGGCCGCAAGGCUAAAACUCAAAGGAAUUGACGGGGGCCCGCACAAGCGGCGGAGCAUGCGGAUUAAUUCGAUGCAACGCGAAGAACCUUACCAAGGCUUGACAUGAACCGGAAAGACCUGGAAACAGGUCCCCCACUUGUGGUCGGUUUACAGGUGGUGCAUGGUUGUCGUCAGCUCGUGUCGUGAGAUGUUGGGUUAAGUCCCGCAACGAGCGCAACCCUCGUUCUAUGUUGCCAGCACGUGAUGGUGGGGACUCAUAGGAGACUGCCGGGGUCAACUCGGAGGAAGGUGGGGACGACGUCAAAUCAUCAUGCCCCUUAUGUCUUGGGCUUCACGCAUGCUACAAUGGCCGGUACAAAGGGUUGCGAUACUGUGAGGUGGAGCUAAUCCCAAAAAGCCGGUCUCAGUUCGGAUUGGGGUCUGCAACUCGACCCCAUGAAGUCGGAGUCGCUAGUAAUCGCAGAUCAGCAACGCUGCGGUGAAUACGUUCCCGGGCCUUGUACACACC